CUAUCGGUACUCGCGAAUGCAUCCCAAUGAUUUAAUGAUCAUGGCUCAGAAUCAACCCCUGGCGGNUACGCUUACACAUGCAAGUCGAACGAGAAAGGGGGAGCAAUCCCCUGAGUAAAGUGGCGUACGGGUGAGUAACACGUGGGUAAUCUGCCUCUGGGUGGGGAAUAACUCUGUGGAAACCGGAGCUAAUACCGCAUAAGCCCGCAAGGGGAAAGGUGAAAAUCGCCGAGAGAGAGAGCCCGCGGCUGAUUAGCUGGAUGGUGGGGUAAAGGCCUACCAUGGCUGAGAUCAGUAGCCGGCUGAGAGGGCACACGGCACACUGGCACUGAAACACGGGCCAGACUCCUACGGGAGGCAGCAGUGGGGAAAUCUUGCACAAUGGGGGAAACCCUGAUGCAGCGACGCCGCGUGAGCGAUGAAGCCCUUCGGGGUGUAAAGCUCUUUCGGCAGGGACGAUAUGACGGUACCUGAAGAAGAAGCUGCGGUAACUACGUGCCAGCAGCCGCGGUAAUACGUAGCAGGANCGUGUUCGGAGUUACUGGGCGUAAAGC
rnacentral:rRNA from 1 species